CUCAGGUGGUCUCUAACAUGUCAGGUGGUCUCUAACAGGUCAGGUGGUCUCUUACAGGUCAGGUGGUCUCUAACAGGUCAGGUGGUCUCUAACAGGUCAGGUGGCCGCUAACAUGUCAGGUGGUCUCUCAGGUGGUCUCUAACAUAUCAGGUGGUCUCUUACAGGUCAGGUGG